UACAGAGGGUGCAAGCGUUAAUCGGAAUUACUGGGCGUAAAGCGCGCGUAGGUGGUUUGUUAAGUUGGAUGUGAAAUCCCCGGGCUCAACCUGGGAACUGCAUCCAAAACUGGCAAGCUAGAGUAUGGUAGAGGGUGGUGGAAUUUCCUGUGUAGCGGUGAAAUGCGUAGAUAUAGGAAGGAACACCAGUGCGAAGGCGACCACCGUGGACUGAUACUGACACUGAGGCACGAAGCCAGGGAGCGAACGGGA
rnacentral:rRNA from 1 species